rnacentral:snRNA from 1 species
GAACAAUAGGGUGGAGUGUGACAU